UUGAGGAAUGUUUGGAGGCUCUUAGCAACCAGGGAAUCAUCUGGAAGGUAUCUGGUGUCAGCUCAGUUGUGUUGUUAACAUUUCAACUGGAGGUACCUGAUCUUCAGAAGUUCAUCCAUUACCAGAAGUGUAUAAACCUCAAGAUAAGAAUACCUUUACUGAAGAGUGAUCUCUAUGCUCAUGAGGCUGAAACUCAUGGCUCCAAGAUCAAGAGUCGCGUGCUCUAUGGACUGAGCCAACCAGCCAGCUAUCACCUCCCCAGUAAAGCUAUUUUUAAAAAGGGAAAGGCAUUUCAAGAUUUUAACACACUGAUACCAGUAAGUUGUGGCUAGUCUUUGGACUGGCUCUCCCAUUAAUGGUAUGAAACUGAAGGGUGAUCAGGUAUCUCCCUACAUCUGGACUUUUUCAUCUGUAAAAUGGAGAGUCAAUGAUUUCUUCAAAGCUUUCCAGAUAAGUUAUUUUCCUUGCCAAAGGAAAAUAAUUCAUAUUCAUAAUUCAUAUUACCCUCUUCACAUGCUCAUAAGGCCUUCAUUGCCCCAACACGUAUUUAUCAUUCUUCUACUCCUUAGGAGGGAUGGUAGCCCUUCUGAUUUUGUCCUUGCCAGCUAGUUCUUUCUUAUCCUAUGGCCUUUCUGCCUUACAUCCCCAUCCCAUUUUUGUGUUCCCUUUUGCCUGAUCUCUUACCGUGUGUUAGAAAAGGCCCUAGACUUAGAAUCAAAAGGCCUUCAUUUGAAUCCUAACUCAGCAACAUCCUAGUUUCCAUGACUUGGAGUUGGUUAUUUAAACUUCUAUGAAUCUUGGUUCUAUUACCUAUAAAAUGGAGACAAAAAUGCCAACCCACGGUUUGUGACAGAGUCUAGAUGAAUCAUGAAUCUGAAGAAGUUUUGUAAACCACAUAGAAUUAUA